UGGGGAAUAUUGGACAAUGGGCGAAAGCCUGAUCCAGCCAUGCCGCGUGUGUGAAGAAGGUCUUCGGAUUUGUAAAGCACUUUUAAAGUUGGGAGGAAGGGCAGUAAGUUAAUACCUUGCUGUUUUGACGUUACCGACAGAAUAAGCACCGGCUAACUUCGUGCCAGCAGCCGCGGUAAUACGAAGGGUGCAAGCGUUAAUCGGAAUUACUGGGCGUAAAGCGCGCGUAGGUGGUUUGAUAAGUUGGAUGUGAAAGCCCCGGGCUCAACCUGGGAAUUGCAUCCAAAACUGUCUGACUAGAGUAUGGCAGAGGGUGGUGGAAUUUCCUGUGUAGCGGUGAAAUGCGUAGAUAUAGGAAGGAACACCAGUGGCG
rnacentral:rRNA from 1 species